GUAGAGUAGGCGCCGCGCGUUAAGUGGCAGGGGAUGGGAAGUUGCCCUUGCACGAAAACCCGCACAGGAUGCGGGUUGCGGUAAGGCGCUGCAUCCGCUA
rnacentral:ncRNA from 1 species